UGUGAACUAAGUCCUUCUCGCUCAAGGUGCAUUGCUCAUGUCACUUCCUAAUUGGGUUGACACCCUGGGCCAGGUGAACUAGGGGUCGGGGAAAGAGGAGGAUGAAGUCACAAAGAUGAGCAGGGUCUCAGCUCUCAAAGGGCUUGGUCGUGAGAGGAGGAGCAGGGUGGGGACGGUGCAAAGAGCAUCAGUGGCCCUAGCUUUCCAAGAGCUCAUUGUCCCGAGAGAGAGAGAGACAAUCAGUAAACAAACAGGGGCAGAGCAGCCAGAGAUGACGACGUGCAAAGUGCCAAGGGAGCACAGAAGAGGAAGUGACUAAGACAGCCGGCGGAGACCAAGAAAGGCUUCACAUAGGAAAUGACGCGGAAACUGGGUCAUGAAGGGUCCAGUCUCCCCCCUUCUCUAUCCAAUUCUGUGUCAUGGAAGGCUGACCUCUGUGGACCACAUCGGUAUCUUCCCUCUGCUUUGGAUUUGGCCAAUAGGGAACAGGACACACAGAGAAGACGGCCAUCUGUGAACCAGGAAGCGAGUCCUCACCAGACCUAGAAUCCACCUGCAUCCUGAUCUUAACCUUCCAAGA